UACGUAGGGUGCAAGCGUUAAUCGGAAUUACUGGGCGUAAAGCGUGCGCAGGCGGUUCUAUAAGACAGAUGUGAAAUCCCCGGCUCAACCUGGGAACUGCAUUUGUGACUGUAGAGCUGGAGUACGGCAGAGGGGGAUGGAAUUCCGCGUGUAGCAGUGAAUGCGUAGAUAUGCGGAGGAACACCGAUGGCGAAGGCAUCCCCUGGGCCGUACUGACGCUCAUGCACGAAAGCGUGGGGAGCAAACAGG
rnacentral:rRNA from 1 species